GGAAGCGGGACGACCCGUUUUCCCUCUUUCAUUGCGCGGGGACGACCCUGC
rnacentral:ncRNA from 1 species